GUGGUGGGUGCCUGUAAUCCCAGCUACUCAGGAGGCUGAGGCAGAGAAUUGCCUGAACCCAGGAGUUGGAGUUUGCGGUGAGCUGAGAUGGCGCCACUGCACUCCAGCCCGGGCAACUGAGCGAGACUCAAAAAACAUCUGGCCAGAAGUCCAGAUGAGGGGAAGUUUCCACACAGAUGUAGGGGCAGUGAAGUGCGUGUCCCUCUGUGAGAAGGAUGUAAACAAGUCCUCCAGGCCCAGCUCCGGGGCUCUCUGGUACUAGCUCCUGGCGCAGAGGGAGGCUCUGAGAACAGGGUUGCUGGGGACAGCCGUGGUAUCUGACCUGCAGGCCUCCAUCGCUCCAUCGUGGCUGUCUGCAACUUCAGCCUCUGCCCGGAAGCUGUGGGGAAAGCUGAUCUGAAUCAUCCGCGAGAGCUUGGGGAGCACCGAGGGGGCAAGCAGGACUGUGGCCAUCAGCGCCCCAAGCAGUGUGAACCCUUCGAGACUGUGGCACCCCUCCUCCUCCUCCAUCCGACAGCUGGCUCCCGAGGGACCUCCCGCAGCCUCAGGGUGAUGCCGGAGAUCUGCGCCACCGAUGUCUUUCCCAUCUGCCCUCCCCAAAAAAGGCUUCCAGGGUGCGUUCCACCGCGGGGCAGGCACCUUUCCGGAAGCAGAGGCCUCCUGGCGUCUUCCACUUGUCUGCGGUGCGCGGAAGGAGAGAGCGCAUGAAAAGCAUCCACUCUGACGUGGGGAGACACGGAAACGGGGAGUGAACGUUUGUGAAGAGACUCUCCAUUUGACAGGGAUUUUAAAAGCCUCCAGCAGUGACUAAGUGUGGAUGGGCGUCCGCGUGGGUAAAUGAACCAGUCCAAGUCAGCAGAGGAGCCAAGUCUCAGAGGGGAGCCGCGCCCUGCACGGAAAGCUCUGCAGCAGUGCGUGGCAGUCCUGUCGGUUAUUCUCUCCUGCAUCUGUACAGGGGACACGCAGUUUAACAAGGCCCCACUGCACACCUCUUCCCAACUCAGCACUGACUGACGUCCCAUUGGGACCUGACAUCAGCCACAGUGGGACUGUUUACACCACAGGAAGUGGCAGAGACCACAAGUCCAGUUUUCUUUGAGAACAUCCCGCUGAUUGCUUUCAAUGGACAGCAGUGACCUUUUCUGACCAGGCCCUUGGUCGGCUCUCCAGUACCAGCCAGAGCCCUGGGACAGCAGGUGACCUCACAUCCGCACCGCUCCCCUCCCUACAACAGCAAGGAGGGCCAGGCCACCCUGGAGUGCCUUUGCCUUGGCGCUUUUCCCUCCACAGCCAUGGGCGAUGGUGCUCGUGGAAGGGAGAGCUCUGGGCAGAAGGAGGAGCUACACCCUCCAGCUCCAAUCCAGGCAAUGCCAGGUCAGCACGUGUAGGGAGGGGCACACACAUUAUAAAAGUUCAUGUCAGAUGGUUGCACAAGACCCCAAGUGAAGGCAUCAAAUGAGAGCUCUCUACCCUUUCUGCAGACCAAGCUGCCCUUCUGCCUGUUACACAGCCUCACCAGGGUACUAAGAGCGGCCCCUCGAUGGGGCACAGCUGGCAGCAACAACCUUUACAAGGUGUCAUCAGGUGCCAACCGGCCAUCACGCCGCCUGCACCCUCAGGAAAUGCUCCUACCCUCAGCCAUGGCUGCGCGUGGGCUCCCCCCCAAGUCACAGGCUCCUCUCAGCCUUCCACUUGGGAAGGCUGCUUCCUCUGUGCCCCCUUCACCUUCCCUUUACUGCCAGUCUUCGAAGAAGAUCCCUACAGAGAGAUUCCAGCACUGUGAGCUGGAAAUGCCCCAGCCUCUAGCAGUAUCACCCAGGAGCCCUGGGCGUACCGCUCCUCACUCUGCCCCAGAAGGAAGGCGGGCACAGCCGGGCCCUGCAGGGGAUUCUGACAAGCUGAGUCUGGGAACUACACUCCCACCCGCCUCCACGGCCUGGACCCAGCACCGGAAGGAGGAGGAUGCAGGGGCUUCCCAGCGCAGUUUCAUUGACUGCUCUUGUGCCUGUACACGGUGCGCACCUGAUAACUGGUUUUCAUCCAAAGGUGAGUUUAAAGAAAAAUUACCACCACCUGCCUUUGCACUCAGAACUGAGAGUAAAACUUUUGAGCCUGCAAACAAAUCUUCCCCCAUGAAUACAGACAAACCGUUUGCUCGGCAGCCCCACCCCGGGUGACAGCAGAGGGUGUUAGGAAUGGAGGUCACCUCCAACACAGCCUUGUUCUGUCAGCUCCCACCUCCUCCCAAAGGGCCUGUGCCUCUGAGCGGCAGUGACCCAAGUGUUGGUGACGGGAAAGAAAAGAGCAAGCUACCCUGGGAAGACCGUGCCACCCACCGGCUGCACCAGGAAGGCCCCACGCCGCUGCAACCUCCUGGCCGCAGCCGCCACAUGCGGGCACUGGCAGGACUCGACCUACCGCCGGUGAGAUCCGGAUGGAGCUCAACCCCAAUGCAGGUCCCGGGGGACUCUGCACUGCCUGGAACCCGGCAAUUUGACAAAGCGUGUGCGCAGUCCUCGUGCCCUGCGUGGUCUCCAGGUGGCGCUCGCGGGGCCUCCAGAGCGCAGGUCCCAGCAGCCGGGCAGCGCAACUCGGGCAGCGCAACUCGGCAACUCACCUGG